rnacentral:rRNA from 1 species
UCGCUACUACCGAUUGAAUGGCUUAGUGAAUCUUCCGGACUGCUGGCUUAGGUUUCGCAAGGGACUUUUGCUGCGGAAAGUUAUGUAAACUUGGUCAUUUAGAGGAAGUAA